rnacentral:lncRNA from 1 species
UUCUUGGCCUUCCCACCCUACCCCGCAUGAUACAGAUACACUUUUAGGCAUCUGCAAUGGAUACGCUUGCUCCAGCCAAAGGGUAUUGAAAAAAGCAUGAACAGCUAAUAUGAAUGUCAAAAGGAAGUAACUUCAUCAACUGAAGAAUCUGGCCUGCAUAUCACUGGGCAUCAGGGCAUCUUUAUUGAAGAAGGCACAAAACCCUGGAAGCAUAAAUCGCCACAAGCAUUUAAAACCUGAACAUGCGAUAAAUAAAUCAACCUUAAAGGCCAUGUGGCGGGGAGCUCUUUACUCACCACUGUGACGUUGAAAGCAUACAGAAGAUCAAAAGGCAGGGCAGCGAUUAAAUCAAUGAUGAACCAGGUUGUGACAUAGUGGAUGCAAAUUGAUCUUGCUUCAAAGAUAACUUGGCCAGACUUGCUGACAUAAGUUGUUCGGAAAUUUAAAAUAAUAUCUGCUUGGGAAAAAAAAGGUUGAGAAAUAAAAGGAAGAGACAGAGAAGAAUAAAGAAGGUAGGAAGGACAAUGAAAGAAAGAAGAAAGGAAGGGAGACAGGCAGGCAAACAAGCAGGAAGGAAGGGAGGAAGAAAAUCGUAGAAAAUUAAAUAAAAUUAGGCAAAUGGCAACCACUUAGCCUAGUUCAGAUUGAUAAUAUCCAAAAUAUUCUCCUCUACAGAUCCAGUUCAACUAAACAGAUACUGAAGAAGGGUGAAAGUAAUAUUUUCUGAGCACAUAAUGUUCCAGACAUGAAGCUACAUGUUAAGAUUAUUAAAAUAAAUAAUCGUAGCAAUAGCAACAAUAGUCAUCACUUACUAAGUGUUCACUAUGUACCCAAUAUUGUUCUAAGAGCUUGGCAUAGGAUAUUUCACUUAAUCCUCAGUACAUCUCCUGAAGUAGACAGUGUUACUCUGAUUAAAGAGUCAGAAAUCAAGUCCCAGGAAGAAAAAGUAAUUCAUCCAAGAUCAUAUUGCCAAGAGUGGCAGAGUCAAGUUUUAAUACAGAUACAAGCCGGGCAUGGUGGCUCAUGCCUGUAAUCCCAGCACUUUGGAAGGACGAAGCAAAAGAAUUGCCCGAGCUCAGAAGUUCAGGAUGAGUCUGGGCAACAAAACGAGAACUCAUCUCUAUUAAAAUUCAAAAAAAAUUAGCUGGGCAUACUGGCACAUGUCUGUAGUCCCAGUUACUCCAGAGACUGAGGUGGAAGAAUCACUUGAGCCCAGGAAGUUGAGGCUUCAGUGAGCCAUGAUUGCACCAUGCACUCCAGCCUGGGCAACAGAGUGAGACCCUGUUUCAAAAACAAAAACAAAAAACCCACUAAAUAUAAUCUGAAAUCUAUAUUCCUUAUUUUAUAUAAUAUUACUUAUUUCCAUGUAUAAAAGUUUUACUAAUCUCUGUGUCGAUAUGGAAUUCAGCCCUGCCCUGAAGGCACUCCUAUUAACAAAGUACUGGUAGUUUCUUGUGUGAAUUUCUGGGUUAAAUUCUAUUUUAAUGAAAGAUGUAAUUGUUUUCAAUCUUUCCCUGCAUCAUUAUUUAGUUAUAUAUUAUCGAGCGUUUUACAAUAUAUGAGGUCCUCCUGAGUGCUGAUCAAAUGACAUCCGUGUGAGUUUCCAACAGCCCUAUGAGCUUGAAAGAAGACCCUGAGCAGGAGAAAGGAACACAACUCAGCUGAUAUUUUGAUGUCAGCCUUUUGAAUUCCUGAUCGGAGGAUCCAACUAAGCCAUCCCUGGACUUUUGACAUAUAGCAACUGUAAGACAGUAAAUGGAUGUUGUUUUAAGUUGAUAAGUUUGCUAUGCAGCAAUAAAAA